UUAUCCUGAUAUUCUGUUGCUGCAGACCAAUACAGUGAUAACUUGGUUGGAGAAGAAAGGAGAAAAGAUAGGUUGUUAGUGCCAUCACAUGGGCAGGAUUCAGUUUUGUUAAAAAGGCCUCCUUCAUCCCAUUCUUCAUCGUCACAUGAAGGAUUGCUCGAGCGUAUGUCUGACACAGCUAGCAGGACAGCAAGUUCUUAUAGUGGGAUAGAAGGAGGUGUGAGACGGGAAUCAGGAGCAGCGGGAAA